rnacentral:rRNA from 1 species
CCUACGGGAGGCAGCAGUGGGGAAUAUUGGGCAAUGGGCGCAAGCCUGACCCAGCAACGCCGCGUGAAGGAAGAAGACUUUCGGGUUGUAAACUUCUUUUCGCAGGGACGAAGCAAGUGACGGUACCUGAGGAAUAAGCGACGGCUAACUACGUGCCAGCAGCCGCGGUAAUACGGAGGUGGCAAGCGUUAUCCGGAUUUACUGGGUGUAAAGGGCGUGUAGGCGGGAAAGCAAGUCAGAUGUGAAAACCAUGGGCUCAACCUGUGGCCUGCUUUUGAAACUGUUUGUCUUGAGUACUGGAGAGGCAGACGGAAUGCCUGGUGUAGCGGUGAAAUGCGUAGAUAUUAGGAGGAACACCAGUGGCGAAGGCGGUCUGCUGGACAGCAACUGACGCUGAGGCGCGAAAGCGUGGGGAGCAAACAGGAUUAGAUACCCUUGUAGUC